rnacentral:tRNA from 1 species
GCUCGGAUGGUGGAAUUGGUAUACACACUAGGUUGAGGGCCUAGGCACUUAUUGUGCGUGCGGGUUCAAGUCCCGCUCCGAGCACCA